rnacentral:lncRNA from 10 species
AUAAAGAUGCCUUUUAUUUCUUCUUGUUCUUCUAGGAUAAGUCUACUUUUCUUCCACGUAACAACCACAGGAUAGAUGACAUUCAUUUUCUAAGAAACAAAAUCUUGGCAGUUAGAUCCGUGGGGUAAAGAAUAUAGAUACUAAUAUUUAACAUUGUAUCUUAUUUUCUACCUCAAAUGAUUUAAUCUUUUCCAUAUUGGUAUGGUCCUGGCCGAUAACUCUUUGUGUGGCAGCCUGAGAGAAUAUGGAAGACACUGUCAGUGUUGGAAGAUGGUGGUUUUAUCACUUUUCAUUGCACUGUCUUUAAAACAUGGGCAAAUUGACUAAAAGAAGACUACAGAAGAAAUAAUGGUGAUUGUGAAUUUGGUAUGAAGCAUGGAUGUUAAUUAAUCACACAUGUUCUCUGAGGUCCAUUGUAAAAGGAGACCUAGUCUUCAGGGAGAGAGCCACUAAUGGGGAGAUCUUAUUCCUAGAAUUUUGUGGUUAUAUUAUUAUUCAUGAACCAAUGAAUAAUAAAUGAAUGAUAUAAAGGAAG